CAGCCGCCGCGGUAAAACCAGCACCUCAAGUGGUCAGGAUGAUUAUUGGGCCUAAAGCAUCCGUAGCCGGCUCUGUAAGUUUUCGGUUAAACCUGUAUGCUCAACAUACAGGCUGCCGGGAAUACUGCAGAGCUAGGGAGUGGGAGAGGUAGACGGUACUCGGUAGGAAGGGGUAAAAUCCUUUGAUCUAUUGAUGACCACCUAUGGCGAAGGCGGUCUACCAGAACACGUCCGACGGUGAGGGAUGAAAGCUGGGGGAGCAAACCGGAUUAGAUACCCGGGUAGUCCCAGCCGUAAACGAUGCAUACUAGGUGAUGGCACGGCCAUGAGCCGUGUCAGUGCCGUAGGGAAACCGUUAAGUGUGCCGCCUGGGAAGUACGGUCGCAAGGCUAUAACUUAAAGGAAUUGGCGGGGGAGCAC
rnacentral:rRNA from 2 species